UACAGAGGUCUCAAGCGUUGUUCGGAUUCAUUGGGCGUAAAGGGUGCGUAGGUGGCGCGGUAAGUCGGGUGUGAAAUCUCGGGGCUUAACUCCGAAACUGCAUUCGAUACUGCCGUGCUUGAGGACUGGAGAGGAGACUGGAAUUUACGGUGUAGCAGUGAAAUGCGUAGAGAUCGUAAGGAAGACCAGUGGCGAAGGCGGGUCUCUGGACAGUUCCUGACACUGAGGCACGAAGGCCAGGGGAGCAAACGGG
rnacentral:rRNA from 1 species